CCGUACGGGAGGCAGCAGGUGGGAAUCUUCCGCAAUGGGCGCAAGCCUGACGGAGCAACGCCGCGUGAGUGAAGAAGGGUUUCGACUCGUAAAGCUCUGUUGUCGGGGACGAAUGUGGAGAUGGUGAAUAACCAUUUUCAAUGACGGUACCUGACGAGGAAGCCACGGCUAACUACGUGC
rnacentral:rRNA from 1 species